rnacentral:lncRNA from 1 species
UGUCAUCUCCAUCGCAGGGGAGGAACCAUAAGUCGCCUUCGACGGAAAUCUCUUCAUCACUUCCGAAGAUUUUAACGAUAAGUCAUGAUUCUUUACUACUCAGAUUUGUUAGGGUUCAUGUACUACAUCUAUUGAUUGAGUGAUUGUUUGAUUUUGAAAAGCCUAAAUUUCAGUCCAUAGCAAAGUUCAGUGUUUGAUUGGCUCCACUGUCAAUUUUCUUUAUUUACAUGAAGAAACUGUAAAUCUCAGUUUAUGGUUUAGGAGAAACCAUAAAGUAAAAUUGAUAGUUCUGUAACAAGAAUCUGCAAUUUUCAGACAUAAUUAGAAAAGUCCUAUGUUCUUUAUAUUUCUUGUUUAUGUCUGUCUAUAUUGGUGUUUUGUUAAAAAAUGAAGAUUUUGUUUUUAUUUCAGGUAUUUGAGAAUUAGUUUGUACUAGAUUGAGGACAGAGUUUGUAAAUGAUUUGUGAGUUCUUUGACCAUCAAUGGAGAGAAGGAGAUCACCAAGAAGCAGCAAGAGUUCUGGAACUACAUUUUUCCCUAGAAGCUCGCUUGCCUACGAGAGUUAUAAGUCUGGUUGUAGUAGGAAACUGACAACGAGAAAGUUCAGUGUAAUGAUGUAAGUGUAUUAUAAAUUGUUUUUGGGAUAGCUUUUCCAACUUGGAAGGAGAAACUGAAUCUCUUGAUCUCUUCCUAGCAGAUUGUAGAAGAAGAGCAUUCAUGUAAGCAGCAUAAAUGAGAUGAUCUUUAAGCUAUGAAACAGAAGAUGAGAGCUAGUUUAGUUAUUGUAAAUUAUGUUGACUUCACGAGAAACGUCCGUAUAUGUUGUAUCAGAUGGCUAUUACGUAAGAAUUUGCGGCUUAGUUGUAAAUUAUGAAAUAUAUAGAACCAAACAAGUUGUAUGUUCGAAUGUAAUUCCGACACAAAAUAAUUCCAAAAGCCAAAUAGAACCAAACAAGUUGUAUGCUUGAAUGUAACAAAAGAACCAAACAAGUUGUAUGCUCGAAUGCAAAAACAUCAACCGCUGAUUUCGCCAAUAUAUAAAGAUAGCAACAAGAGACUGAAAUAGGGACAUCUUGAUAAGAAAGAAAAGUGGGAUGAAGAAGACAACAAUUGCAAACUUAAAAAAAAUGGUCUUAGUUACACUAGAAAUAAACCAGAUUCAAAAUUAAAGUAAACCAGCUUUAAUUUCUAUUGACUUAAGUUUGGCUUACUCAAAACCCAGAUUUUUGUUUAAAAGUUUAAAAGUCUGCUACCGAAAACAGCAAUUUAUAAAAUCUGCCACCAAAUGAAUACAAAAGUCGAUUGAAAAUUUAAAUCGGGUAAACAUAUCUAUCAUAAAAAUUUAUAUCUAUUACUGAUAAACAUAUCUGUCUCAAAACUCUGACUACUUCGAGAUUUAUAUUCCGGUAUAUUUGUUUUUCGUUAAAUAAAUCUGCCGUCGAAAUUUUUUUAAUAAUUUCAAAUGGCACUUUUGUAAUAUUGUUUUUUGAUCAUAACUAUAGUCAAGGGUAUUUUCGACCAUAAAAUAUUUUUAGUAAUUUAAAACUUUUAAGAGUCAUUCUAGUAAUUUCUACACUAAUUUAAGUCAUUCUAGUAAACUUCCCUUUAUCUAUUUUAGUCUGUCAUAUGUAGUAACCGAUUUGUUGAAGUCAUCAGUUUUUUUUCGAAGUAGUCAGAGUUUUGAGACAGAUAUGUUUAUCAGUAAUAGAUAUAAAUUUUUAUGAUAGAUAUGUUUACCCGAUUUAAAUUUUCAAUCGACUUUUGUAUUCAUUUGGUGGCAGAUUUUAUAAAUUGCUGUUUUCGGUAGCAGACUUUUAAACUUUUAAACAAAAAUCUGGGUUUUGAGUAAGCCAAACUUAAGUCAAUAGAAAUUAAAGCUGGUUUACUUUAAUUUUGAAUCUGGUUUAUUUCUAGUGUAACUAAGACCAUUUUUUUAAGUUUGCAAUUGUUGUCCAUUUUUUUAACUAUGGACUGAAAUUUAGGCUUUUCAAAAUCAAACAAUCACUCAAUCAAUAGAUGUAGUACAUGAACCCUAACAAAUCUGAGUAGUAAAGAAUCAUGACUUAUCGUUAAAAUCUUCGGAAGUGAUGAAGAGAUUUCCGUCGAAGGCGACUUAUGGUUCCUCCCCUGCGAUGGAGAUGACAGUGAGAUAGUGUGGAGGAGGCGGAUUUGAAGUCGGAGAUAACGGAGGUGGAGGUCACAGAGGUGGAGGUCACAGAGAUGACCCUGAUUGUAGGUUUGUCGGCAUGAGGCGCUUCACCCGUGAAAGGGUUUUGUUUUUGUUUUUUAUUUUUUUAAAUUAUAUCCCUAAUAAUACUUCAAUGGCAAAUUUGUGAUUACUGAAAAGUAGGUUGGGUUUUAUGUACUUUUGCUUGGUAUAUGUGUUAUGCUAGUAAUUACAAUAUUUUAAGAGUUAGUUGAGUAAUAUUAGGUAUGAUGGGAGUCAUUAUAAGUAAUUUCUCAUGGAUAAAUGAUAGUGAUGGAAAUGAGGGAUCAAUGAGAACAUGAAUGUCGUGAAG